UUGACUUUAUAUUGUGCUCACUCUGAGCCAUCCCUUACUUCAUAAAACAGUUUGUGUUAAUAGCAUAGCACAGCUUUAGCUCUCUGCUUUGUAAGAGAAUACAGUCUUUCUAGGCCAGUGAUUCUAAGUGUUUAAUACAUGAUGCCACAGAUG